UACGGAGGAUCCAAGCGUUAUCCGGAAUUAUUGGGUUUAAAGGGUCCGCAGGCUGUUUGUUAAGUCAGGGGUGAAAUCCUACCGCUCAACGGUAGAACUGCCUUUGAUACUGGCAAACUUGAGUUAUUGUGAAGUAGUUAGAAUGUGUAGUGUAGCGGUGAAAUGCAUAGAUAUUACACAGAAUACCAAUUGCGAAGGCAGAUUACUAACAAUUAACUGACGCUGAGGGACGAAAGCGUGGGUAGCGAAC
rnacentral:rRNA from 1 species